rnacentral:misc_RNA from 1 species
CAUAAGCACCAGCUUCCCUCAUCACGGCCUCUUCUUCUUUCACUUUGAUCUCCUCGGUAAGGCGAGUGACAUCGGCAGUUCGGCAGGCCCAAGCUUCUUCGAGUUCUCGCUCCAGUUCGGCUAUCCUAUACUCAUAAGAUUUCGUCCGACCCUCAAUCUCGGCAAUAUAGUCCUGAGUAGACGAAAGUUGGGUUUUGGCAGAAGCAGCGUCCUAGACCGCCUUCAGAAUUUCUUGUCUCAAGAGAUGAGCCUUUUCUCUGAUUAUAUGUUGAUUCACAAGGCUCUCUACGCUCAAGCUCAUCGUCUGAGCCAGAAGGUCGUCAAUGCUAUCAGGAGUCAGCCUAUUCCGGUCGUCCUAGAAGCAGAUGGUGGCACCCAAAACCUUGGCCAGGCCAGGAUUCCCUCGAACCAAGCGAUUCUUAUCUAGCGAGUGAAUGUGAAUCUGGGCUCCACGAGAGAGGGUCCUCACAGCAGGUUGGGAAGACCCUCCUUCCGCACUUAAAGAAACCGACGGAAGUGGCAGUUCAUCUUGUCGAGGAGGGGAAUGAGCAAUCUCUAUCUCUGGGGUUGAUUGUCCCAAAAGUCGAGACGAAGAGCCCGGCACUUCUACCGAGUCUCGCCCUAGCGUCUGGGAUACAACAGCAAUCUUCAUUUCUCGUACUUUUCGGGCGACCUCCCUUUUUCGCUUACGGCUCUUUUUCGCGCCCUCGCCUCCAGCCAUACCUGCACAGAAAACAAGUUAGUGAGAUCACCUAAGUCAGGAGGCUAAAGAUUUAAGUUAUACCGAUCCCGAGUCUGAGGUCAGAGAGCUGCAGCUCAUAAUCCUCAUGGGCGAUCAUCUGCAUUAGCCACUACUUCAGUUAGGCCAUAACUGCAUCUAGACAUGAAUACUUGUGCGUAGCCGCCUGAUCCUUCAAUUCCUUUACCAUGACGUCCUCAUCUCUAUUUAGAGCGAUCUUCUUAGGAACCGAAGGGACCAAGUACUGCUAACUGCGUGGGAUACCCUCGAAGCCAUUCAGAAUCUUACUCCUCAAUAUGAAGAACCGGUUCUUUCAAUUCUUCAACGAAGAAGGGAGAUCGGUAAAAAGCCCACAAUGCGGCUUGGCUUGGAAAAACUAAUACUCGUCGUCCUUUCGUCGAGUGAGUCUAUGCAACUCAGCGAAAACCUUUACUGUAGGCUCGAGCUUUUUAGCUCAACAUAAACCUCUGAAAGCCACUAGAAUCCGCCAAGAGUUCGGGUGCACUUGGGCUACGCAUACAUGAUGAAACUUCAGAACGGCUCUAAAUAAUUAGUCCAGGGGGAACCGAAGCCCGGCCUUCAAUUGUUCUUCAUAUACCAUAAUUAUGUCAUUUUCUUCAAAGAAAUGAUAAGCUCGGAGAUCGCCAUGACAUCUGAUAAGCUCGUACGAGUCGGUCCGAAGGUUGUACUCCUGACUAAUGAGUUGCAGAUCGGUUUCUUGAAGGACUGACGGCAACUCAUCCACGGAAAGAUUUUCUCCCAGAGGAAGCUGUCCGUCUUGAUUGUGCCGCUUGACCAUGGGCUGAAGCAGAGGUCGUAGGAGGCUCAGGUCGCCCACUUAGCCUGACCACAUCAACUUCGUCCGACGUCCAAGAGAUAUGGACGGAAGGGAGGCUCGCCGCUCUCUGACCCUCGGCGCUGCUCAUUUUCAAGGAAAUAAAAAAAAAGCUUAAGUAAGAGAAGGAUUAAAGUCCUUACCGGAGUGUGAUCGGUGCUGGAAAAACUUGAAGAAAUGAGAGAAAGUUGAAAUUGCGAGCAGAGUGCUGAAAAUGGCAUAGGGGAGCAACUGAGAGACCCUCCCCCUAUUUAUACCCGUGUGAGCAUUCAAUGCUCACAAAGUCCCAAGCGGUGCAUCGGUUAGCGGAAUCCACCCGCUUUCCUGACACGUCACAGGAAGAUUCCAGAAACACAAUAAAUAAAAUAAAAUGAGAUUGGCUAGCUAAGGUCGUCGGAUUAAAGUAGAUGUUCAGAGUCAUAGGUCAGCUAAGGGUGAUUUAGUUAGGAACCAAAUCGGAUAGGCACAUCAGAGAUCGGAAAAUAACCAAUGCA